UUCAAACUCACUUAACAUAACAGAACUCAAAAUCCCACAGCUAAUUAGAAGGGAAUUGCUACGUAUAACUUCAUGUCGGAAACAGAUUAAUUACAACCAUCAUAACAAACAUUCACUAUAUUGAACAGACCCAGAAUCAUGCAAUAUUGACAUAAUAGCGCUAAGAUAGAGAGCCAAGAUUUGCUAAAGCCAUGUUUGAUAUUAUCAUUUCAUACUGCAAGUCAGAUUUCAUACAUGGUUUAAAAUUCAGAAAAUGUGUACCUGGAAAGAAAAAUAAGAGACAAGGAAGAGGAUCAACACAACAGAGUAGGGUCAACAGCAGAAAUAACUAGUGAAAAUCAUAUUGAACCAAU
rnacentral:lncRNA from 1 species